UCUUCUCAGCCCACAGCAGCCUGCCAGUCCUGCCUCCCCCCCAGUUACUGGGAUGGGCGGAAGGCAGCCACGGGGCCCUCAGGGACCUGGUUCAGCGUGGCCACGGGGCCUGUGACACCCUGGCACCCCGCGAUUCUGCGACCAGAGCGCCUCUGCUGCUGUGUUCCUGGGUCCCUAUGCGCUCUCUGUGUGGCUCUCAGACACCCUGGCUGGGACGCUCAGCAAUAUCACCAGGCUCCACAUACCAAAAGCAAACAAACUACUUCACCAUGCAGUCUGAUGGAAGCGGUAAGGCAUUUUAAAAAGACAACCCUAAACGUCACACUGUGACUACAAUGCAGAAUGUGUUCACGUUAGAAGACUACACCUGCCAUUAACGCAUCACGAGGCUGGGAAGACCCUGGAGGGCGAAAGUCCAGAGAAGAGGCUCCGUAGGAGCUUCUCGAAGUUGAGGGUAAGAGGACAAAGGCAGCAGGAAACCACGGAAGGCAGACUGAGCAUGGAUCAUGAAGGCCAAGGCACCUCACAGACGGCAUCCCGAAGGGGUUAUUUUCCAAAAGGGCCUAUGGUUUUCUGGCCCAGGCUGAGGAUUACAGAACAGUCCAGGGGCAAGGGGCUCUCCUACUCGGCAUGGCAGCCAUGGGACAACCUCAAGCGCCAUUUGGGAAAGUGAGAAGAUGGAGUCUAAGGGGAUGCGAAGUCAGGGAUGCGAAGUCAGGGUAAGGUUCUGAGGGUGUGAAAAUGCAUACUCAGUGGUUCUGGCCCUCUGGCACCACAGCAAGCCUGCCGACAUUGGUACGGAAGCCCGCAUCUUAUAGCUGGAGGACACCUCACACACCAACUGGCUCUUGUCAUGUCAGGAAGGGUAACUAGCCCUCAGAGGGGACAGCCUGCUCUGGUCACCAGUAAGGUGACCAACCGGGUGUUGGAACUCCCUGCCUGGAGCACUUCCUUCUUCCCUGCUGCCGCCUCUGGAGGGGACUUCCAAGUACCUGGUGCUCAUCCCAGGGCCCACUGUCCAGGGCCCUGGACUCACACACCAACCCUCUGGGCCCACAGGCCUGGAUUCCUUGAUAGGAAAGCUCUCAAGGGCUGAGUAAGAAUUUUGCAUUUGGCCAGCUACUCUGACACAGCACCUCCUCCAGAGCAUGGCUGCGAGGAUCAGACCUGAAAAGCCCUCAAAACAGUGCCUGCCUCACAACAGGCAGGUCUUUAUUGUAAAUUCUGAUUCCCUUGGAGGAGGAGCCUACAGAACCAUGCAAGGGAUAAGUGGAUGGGGAGAGGGCCUGGGUCCCUCAACCUCCCAAAUCCAUAGCUUGCCAGAGUGUGAUGGAGGGGAAAGGAGCUAGCUAGGUGGAUGGGUGGGAAGUGUAACUGUACCCACUAAAUAAAUGUGAACACUUGUGACCAGAGGUUGCCGCAGUGAGCA